rnacentral:rRNA from 1 species
GACGAACGCUGGCGGCGUGCCUAAUACAUGCAAGUUGAGCGCUGAAGGUUGGUACUUGUACCAACUGGAUGAGCAGCGAACGGGUGAGUAACGCGUGGGGAAUCUGCCUUUGAGCGGGGGACAACAUUUGGAAACGAAUGCUAAUACCGCAUAAAACUUUAAACACAAGUUUUAAGUUUGAAAGAUGCAAUUGCAUCACUCAAAGAUGAUCCCGCGUUGUAUUAGCUAGUUGGUGAGGUAAAGGCUCACCAAGGCGAUGAUACAUAGCCGACCUGAGAGGGUGAUCGGCCACAUUGGGACUGAGACACGGCCCAAACUCCUACGGGAGGCAGCAGUAGGGAAUCUUCGGCAAUGGACGAAAGUCUGACCGAGCAACGCCGCGGGAGUGAAGAAGGUUUUCGGAUCGUAAAACUCUGUUGGUAGAGAAGAACGUUGGUGAGAGUGGAAAGCUCAUCAAGUGACGGUAACUACCCAGAAAGGGACGGCUAACUACGUG